rnacentral:rRNA from 1 species
AUGCAUGUAACUUAUUAUUCCUUCUGCAGUAUGCCCGUGCGAGACAUUGUUGCCUGGCGGCACACACAGGAUAUUCGAGAAUAUGCCCAUGCGAGACCGUCUUGCCAGGAACGUGCUCGUUGCGGGGUGCAGCUUGACUCCGUUAUGCUCGUGUCCAUGCUGCCUGUCUGCGCUGAUGCCCUGGUGCUCCGUGGUGCUGUCGAUGAACUCAUGAAUGCCUCCACGACAAUCUUUGACGUGUACUGCAAGCGCAGGCGGUGUUUGAUUGGAAGCUGGGCAAGGACGCUGUCCUGGAACGGUUCUAGUGACAGGGAGGGAAAUAAUCAUGAGAGAUACAACUUUAAGGACGUGUGCGGGUGGGGUGGCAUGAUUUGCUCGGCCUCGUCGGCGUCUCCUCCCACGAGCGGACAUGUUACAUUCGACUGUGCCCCACACUUUGACCAGCCAGGCGUGCUCGCCAGCAUGUCUUCCUCCGCACCUUCACAUGCCUUCCAAGCUUUGCCCACAAGACGCCUCCAUACCGAGCUGCAGUGCAAGCUCUCGCGUCCGGGCGCGCUUGCCAAAAUACAUAAGUUAACCAAGAGUUAA